GAGGGGCGGGGCAGAGCCCCCGCGAUGGCUCCGCCCCCGGCCCCGCCCCCGGCCCCGCCUCGGCCCCCUCAGAGCCCUCGGAGCCGAGGAGCGGUUUGGGUUGGAAUAAACCCUCUAACAUCGGUGGGGCCAACAGUGGCCCCAGCGCUGCCGGGGCCACCACUAACCCGUGUCCCCGAGUGCCACGCCCACACCUUCUCUGAACAUAUCCAGGGAUGGGGACUUCACUGUGCCAGGGCUGAACAAUCCUUUCAGUGAAGAAAGUUUUGCAAUAUCCAACCUGAACUUCCCCAGGCACAAAUUGAGACUAUGUCCUCUUGUCACUUGUCAGGCCAAGCCCACUCCUUAACCGUGUCCCCAGGGGACAUAUCCACAGGUUUUUUGAACACAUGCUGGGACGGUGAUUUCACCACUGCCCUGGGCAGCCUGUUCAGUGCCUGACCACCCGUUCCUUUGUUGAGGAAUACCUCUGGUUCCUUUGUUGAGGAAUACCUCUGGUUCCUUUGUUGAGGAAUACCUCUGGUGCAGGUAGCUCAGUUUGCAACCUGCAGAUUGAGAUGCAGAUUGAGCUCUAGGUGUGAACUGCCAACCUUUGGGAUAACAAAGGACAUGAAGAGGAGUGAUGCCAGCAAGGUGGAUGGACAUGGAGAGGGGCACAGGAGCAGGGGACUCCGGAGGAAGAGCAAGACUUGCUCACUCAUGGAUUGUGAGGGUAUAAAAGCCCAGGGAUCCUUUGCUCAGGGUCCCUCCUCUGAGGCUCGGAGCUGUUCCUGUGUUAUUGCACCGUGAAUAAAUUGUUUUAUGGAACGAGGCAUCUGAGGGUCUGGUAUGGGAAACCUGGGGUGGAACCGAUGGAAGCCCUGCUCUACAAGCAAAAGGUUGGCCAAACCUGCUUCUGUGGGCCCUUAUCCUCCAGCUGAAGAGCAUAUGAGAGAAUGAUCAGAUGGAGAAGACAAAGCAAGAGGGAGACAUUAUAAAAUUAUCUCACAGAGCUGCUCUUCAGUCAUGAUCGUGGUAAUGAACUGAGUUUUCAAGAAGAGGCUCGGAACCGAGAGCUGGAAGGACGAGACCUUGUCAGGACUCAGAUCAGCGAGGAAUCAAGUGCAGGAAGAGCAACCACAGGGCUCAGCUGGGGUCUCACAUUUUCCUUGGAUUUAAUAUUUGUGUCAUGUUUGGACUGCAGAAGCUCCUGGAUUAAUCCAGCCACAGUUCCUCUCUGAAUUACUCUGAGGGUGCAUUUUGCUGGGUGGCUGUGUCUGCCCUUUGGGGCUGACCCACCUUAUGAUGCUGUUUGAAGGAAGUGCCCUUGCUCUCUGCUGCCAUUCUCUACCCUUGUCUUUCAAAACUUCCCAUUGUUCUCUUUUCUCUUUUUGCUUCUACUUUAAUGACUUGGUUAGUGGACCCCCCACCAGCCUCUAGCCUUCUUAGACCUUUUUGCAUAUCACAUGCUAUGUGAAAAGCAAAGGUUGCUCUAUCUGCCUGCAUGUACUCACAUUCACUUCUCACCGCAUUUAUUUUGGAUCUUGUUUUUCUCUUCUGUAGCUUCACAACUGUGGGCCACAUCCAGUGGUGGUAGAACCAAGCCUGAUCCACUGGUGUACACUUGCUGGAAGACUGUCACUGUGCACUGGUUCUCUGGCUUUCCUCUUCUGGCAUCUUUUCUAUUCUGCAAAAUAGUCUAUGAUUCAUGUCAAGGUGCUUUCCUGGGGUCUGAGCCUCAGACUAAAGGCAGCAAUUAACAGUGGAGGCUUAAAAGGGCUUAAAGGACUGUUGCACCCUGGACUCUUUUUGCUCCUCCCAAGAGCCAUUCAGCUGCAUCUUCCCCCAGUGACCUGCUCAGAGGUCACUGAGGACGCUGAGUCUCUUCAUCAUGGUGUUUUGUGCCUGUUCUUACCUAUAUCAACACACAAACACAACAAGGAAAUACUACAGGUUGUAGCACUGGAGCAGUGCAGGGGCCAAACCACACAACACAUCCCUCUGGUGACAGGUCAUCAUAAAGAAAAGUCUUCCUGGGUCAGUAACAACAGCCUGCUGUGCUUGCAGGGUGGGGGAAUCA